UGGGGAAUAUUGGACAAUGGGCGAAAGCCUGAUCCAGCCAUGCCGCGUGUGUGAAGAAGGUCUUCGGAUUGUAAAGCACUUUAAGUUGGGAGGAAGGGCAGUAAGCGAAUACCUUGCUGUUUUGACGUUACCGACAGAAUAAGCACCGGCUAACUCUGUGCCAGCACCCGCGGUAAUACAGAGGGUGCAAGCGUUAAUCGGAAUUACUGGGCGUAAAGCGCGCGUAGGUGGUUCGUUAAGUUGAAUGUGAAAGCCCCGGGCUCAACCUGGGAACUGCAUCCAAAACUGGCGAGCUAGAGUAGGGCAGAGGGUGGUGGAAUUUCCUGUGUAGCGGUGAAAUGCGUAGAUAUAGGAAGGAACACCAGUGGCGAAGGCGACCACCUGGGCUCAUACUGACACUGAGGUGUGAAAGCGUGGGGAGCAAACAGG
rnacentral:rRNA from 1 species